rnacentral:lncRNA from 1 species
AUUUAGUUUUCUUAUUUUCUGUAGUUUCUGUAAUAAUUUACAUAGUUGUGAACUAUAGGUGGUAUCUAAUAUCUAAGAAUCUAAAGUUGAAGUACUUAAUGAUAAAUUUAGUUCUAUCAUAUAUAAAUUUUUAGCAAUAUUUACUUUCUUUUGCUGCUUCAAACUCACAAGGCAAUACUUGUAAUUCUUCUUUCAAUGCCUAUCCUUCCCG